CUUUAUUGAAGACUGCAAUGAGAAAAACUAUCAGAUAGCAGACGGCUGCAUUCAAGAGGAAGACCAUCAAACAUCCACAUCAGCUGAUGGAGGUCCAAGAGUUUCACCAAACAACCAACCUACAGAGUGAAGACCUCAAAUCUGAUUGGACGGCUGUUAGAUUGUUCCAGAUAAGACAAGUACAAGAUUCUUCAGAGCCGUUCUACCAUGAGCCUGACAGGAAGAACUCCAACAGCUACUGAAUGUUCCUGUGGUUCCCUCAAGGCUACAGGAGGAGCCCUACGAGGACGAGCCGGUCCACCUGAUGGCGGCCAGUCGCUGUGGUUCAAAGCCAACACCGACUACAUGGACUUCUACUGGACCACAUGGAGGCCUUCA
ensembl:lncRNA